GGGUCAGUAGGUUGGUCGUGCCACCGGUACGUACUGGUCUCACUGAUUCCUCCUUCCUGAAGAACCGUAAUGCCAUUAAUUUGGUGUUGCGGGGAAACAGGACUGUUACUUUGAAAAAAUUAGAGUGUUUAAGGCAAGCUAACGCUUGAAUACAUUAGCAUGGAAUAAUGAAAUAGGACGAUCGAUCCUAUUUUGCUGGUUUCUAGGAUUGACGUA
rnacentral:rRNA from 1 species